UACGAAGGGGGCUAGCGUUGCUCGGAAUUACUGGGCGUAAAGGGCGCGUAGGCGGCUCUGUUAGUCAGGCGUGGAAUUCCUGGGCUCAACCUGGGGACUGCGCUUGAUACGGCGGGGCUAGAGGAUGGAAGAGGCUCGCGGAAUUCCCAGUGUAGAGGUGAAAUUCGUAGAUAUUGGGAAGAACACCGGUGGCGAAGGCGGCGAGCUGGUCCAUUACUGACGCUGAGGCGCGACAGCGUGGGGAGCAAACAGG
rnacentral:rRNA from 1 species